rnacentral:tRNA from 1 species
AUCCGUAACUUUACGGUAACAGUUGGUAUCGGAGAAGCAGGUACGGGUAAAACGUUUAUCCCAUCUGUUCUCGCUGC